rnacentral:lncRNA from 1 species
AACUACAAAAGAAGUGGCAGGAGCGAAUGUCGCAGAAGAAACGGACACAUCAACAACAACAACUGAUACAGCAACAACAACAACAACCGAUACAGCAACAACAACAACAACCGAUACAGCAACAACAACAACCGAAACAGCAACAACAACUGAUACAGCAACAACAACCGAUACAGCAACAACCGACACAACAACAACCGACACAACAACAACUAUUGCUACUAGAAAAGGCACCAAAUCAAAACGAAAUGGUUAAUAUGGUCGGUUUUAAACUAUUAACCGAAAGCUCAGACGUAAAAAAAAAUGUAACAAAAAAAAUUAUUUCAUCUUUUAAAAAGCGCGGAGCCAUUUUUAUAAUUCCCCCUUUAUUGUUACAAAAUAAAUAUUAUUUAAAUUUGGAAAAAUUAAUGGUCGAAGAAUAUAAUUACAAUUUUAACAUAAAUAAAAAAAAUAUAAACAAAACAAACAAUGUUUUUAUAAACACCAAUAAUAUACAUAAUGUGUGUAACAAGGUUUAUUUGUUGGAUAUAUAUGGGAAUAGUUUAACUUUACGAAGUUCUUUUUUUUUAUCAUUUUCUGAGUAUAUAUAUGAAAAUAUAGAUAAUUAUAAUGAAAAUAAUGAAAACAAUUUAUUUUUAAAAUUUUAUACAAAUGGAUAUACAUAUCGAUAUGAGGAUUGUAAAAAUAGGCAACCAAAAAAGGAUAUAAAUAUAUGUACAAAUCUUGUUGUUAAUACAAAUUUAUGUGUUACAACUCAAUUGUGUAGUGAUGAUAAUGAUUAUAAUAGUAGUAGUAACGAAAUAAACAAUAAUAAUAAUAAUAAUAGUAGUAGUAAUAAAGUUGGUAAUAGUGUUAUUAGUAAUUGUUGUAAUAAUUGUUGUAAUAAUUGUUGUAAUUGUUGUACAUACCCAGAAGAAGUAGAAAAAAUAUUUUAUUGUAUUUUAGUUAAUAAAAAAAAAGCAUCUGGGCAAGAAGAGUUAAACUAUUUGACUAUAUUUUCGAACUCUGAUAUUCUUGUAUCGGUAUAUACAUUAUAUAAUAAUUUUUGUUCUUAUAACAAGUUAUUAUUUUUGUGGUCUUACAUAGAUUUACUACCUCAAAUUUUGUAUGUAUGUCUAGAUAUAGAUGAAACAAUUUGUUACGAGUUAAGUAUUCAGUUAAAAAAAAAUUCCUUUCAGUUAGCAAACAAAUCAAUUAUUACAUCUAUAUUACAAGAUUUAAAAAUAUAUAAUAAAAAUGAUACUAAUAAUAGUAAUAGUAAUGGUAGUAUAACAAUAUGUGAUUUUAUUUUUAAUUUGUAUCAUAUAAAAUGUGAAAAUAACCAAAUAGAUAAAUAUUUAAAUACAUUAAAAACUUUUGUUUCCAAUACGAUUGAAAAAAAAGAUGAUUUGUUAAAUGUUACGUAUACUACUUAUAUUUAUUCUAAUCAGAGUCUUAACAGCCAUACAACGGAUUGUUCAAGUAAUCGAUGUAUGGAUGAAAAUAAUAAUUCUAAUAAUAUAUUAUAUGCUAAUAAUAAUAACAAUAGCAAUAUUACUAAAAAUGUGGUAUCCGAUUGUGUAGAUAAAAUAAAUAAUAUAGAUUACAUUGAUCAAGACAUUACUACAAAUGUUACAAAUGUUAGAAAUGUAUAUGAUAUAGAAAAGGAAUCGAUUGAUAUAAAAACAUAUAAUAAAAACCUAAAUGAGAACAAAAAAAAAAAAAUGAAUAUAUUUACAUUACUAGACAAAAUAAUAACAAUUAAUAAUUUUAUUUCAACAAACACAAUUAUAGAUAAUACAUGUUUUGAUUUAUUUUUAAAUUAUGAAGAACAAGUUUUUUCAAAUGAAAUUAUUUUUUAUGUUAUAUCAGAAAAUAAAAAUAGAGAUAUAGUAGCAUGUGGUGGGAAGUUCGAUAAACUUGUUCAGCAAUUAUAUAUGAAUAAUAUAACAGAUGAUUAUUUAUAUGGUAGUAAAGUUAGUGGUGAUCCUAUAAAUUACCCCAUGAAUUGUUUUAUAAAUUACCCCAUGAAUGAUCUUAUCAAUUAUCCUAUAAAUUACCUUAUGAAUGAUAUGGGUAUUAUACACUUGAAUAAAAAAAGCAAUUACAACAAUAUAGUAGAUAUUAGUUUAUAUGGAGUGGAAAUAUAUGUUGACAAACUGUUUUUAAAAUCAAAUGAAUUAAAUGAUAAUAAACUAUCGGGUUGUGUACAAUCAUCAAUAACAUUUGAAAAGCCACAAAUAUUUAAACAUUUUUUACUCCCAACGGAUUAUAAAAACAAUUUUGUAUAUACACAUAAUCUAAAUGAAUCAAAAAUGGAUAAUAGUCUUAAUAAUAAUAGUCUUAAUAAUAAUAGUCUUAAUAAUAAUAGUCUUAGUAAUAAUAGUUAUAACCAUAGUUAUAAUAAUAGUUGUAAUCAUAGUUAUAAUAAUAGUUGUAAUAGUAGCUGUAUUAGUAAUUGUAAUAAUAUGGCAAAUGUUAGUUACUACUCUUUUUUUAAUAGUUUUUUUGACAAAUCAUAUGCUAUUAGUAGAUUAAAAGUGCUAUGUACUUGAAUUAAAACU